rnacentral:rRNA from 1 species
GAUGAACGCUGGCGGCGUGCUUAACACAUGCAAGUCGAACGAAGCGCUUAAACGGAUUUCUUCGGAAUGAAGUUUUUGCGACUGAGUGGCGGACGGGUGAGUAACGCGUGGGUAACCCGCCUCAUACAGGGGGAUAACAGUUAGAAAUGACUGCUAAUACCGCAUAAGCGCACAGUGCUGCAUGGCACAGUGCGAAAAACUCCGGUGGUAUGAGAUGGACCCGCGUCUGAUUAGCUAGUUGGUGGGGUAACGGCUCACCAAGGCGACGAUCAGUAGCCGGACUGAGAGGUUGGCCGGCCACAUGGGGACUGAGACACGGCCCAG